rnacentral:tRNA from 1 species
GACGGCAUGGCCGAGCGGUUAAGGCGUUAGACUUGAAAUCUAAUUCCCUUUGGGAGCGUAGGUUCAAAUCCUGCUGCCGUCG